GUCACUCGGUGUUCUCACCGAAAGCACGUAAUCGCCCGGUGUAACUCAUGUUGGCUGGGGGGCCUCCCCGCGCGCAGAAAGGCUGGGGUGCGCCCCC
rnacentral:lncRNA from 1 species